rnacentral:rRNA from 1 species
AGAAUCAACGCUGGCGGCGUGCCUAACACAUGCAAGUCGAACGAGAAAGUGGAGCAAUCCAUGAGUAAAGUGGCGACCGGGUGAGUAACACGUGACUAACCUACCCUCGAGUGGGGAAUAACUCCGGGAAACCGGGGCUAAUACCGCAUAACAUCUUCGGAACGCGAGUUCUGUUGAUCAAAGGAGCAAUUCGCUUGAGGAGGGAGUCGCGGCUGAUUAGCUAGUUGGCGGGGUAAUGGCCCACCAAGGCUUAGAUCGGUAGCCGG